AUUGAACGCUGGCGGCAUGCUUUACACAUGCAAGUCGAACGGUAACAGCACUUCGGUGGCUGACGAGUGGCGAACGGGUGAGUAAUACAUCGGAACGUGUCUAGUAGUGGGGGAUAACUACUCGAAAGAGUAGCUAAUAUCGCAUGAGAGCUAAGGAUGAAAGCAGGGGACCUUCGGGCCUUGCGCUACUAGAGCGGCUGAUGGCAGAUUAGGUAGUUGGUGGGAUAAAAGCUUACCAAGCCGACGAUCUGUAGCUGGUCUGAGAGGACGACCAGCCACACUGGAACUGAGACACGGCCCAGACUCCUACGGGAGGCAGCAGUGGGGAAUUUUGGACAAUGGGCGCAAGCCUGAUCCAGCAAUGCCGCGUGCAGGAUGAAGGCCUUCGGGUUGUAAACUGCUUUUGUACGGAACGAAAAGCACUCUGCUAAUACAGGAGGGUCAUGACGGUACCGUAAGAAUAAGCACCGGCUAACUACGUG
rnacentral:rRNA from 1 species